UCCUGAGGAGAUCGGGAGCAAAAAAAGUGCAAAUUAUAAAAAUAAAUGUGCACAAAAUUAAUGUGUGCUAACAAUGAAAGGCUGCUUAAUGAAGAGAUGUCCUAAAAGCCCUCUCACCAACACUUUGCUCCUCUUACCUCUCAAAAAUAAUGAAGCGUCUCAUUAUAUCCGCCUCACUGUCAUUGUUCUCGUAUCGUUAAGAAAAAAAAACACAAGUCGACAUCAUGUCUUGCUAUUUCUCCCUAACCCCUCCAUGGUCUCUCUCUCUCUCUGGGUGCAGAUCAGAGAGCUUGGAGAUGAAUUCUGUCAGGAUGGAGCGGGCGACUAUCUGACAAACUACGAGAGUAUAGAAGUUAGAGAGAUGGCUUAAAUAGAGCAGAGUUCAUUCAAGCAAGACAGAAUCCUCCUUUCAUCCAACCACCAGGCCUAGAAUCCGUCCGCCUGGUCACAAAACUCUUAUGUAAUGUCUGAUCCUUCUGACCGUUAGAUAUAGGUCCCUCUGGAGAUUUAGGACACGUUUUGGCCUAAAGGCUGAAACCCCCUCCCUCCCAUCCGCCCUCACUGUCACAGCAUCUCAUACGAUGUUGAGUGUGGAAGGUUAAAACAUAGAAGGCAGACCUUUAGCUCCUCCUCCAUCGCCUCAGACAAAGACUCAGGACCACUGGACAAGCUGGGGGACAAAACACAAAACCAGGGUUAAAACAAGUUAAAGCUAUGAGUUUUGUAGAAAAUAUCGCAAGUUUUAAAUGUCUUCAGAAGCACUAAGGAGCAACUAGAACUACUGUGAUUUUUCAUUAUGAAUGUGAAGUUAUUUAUUAUUAUUUGUUACAUAAUUUUAGAUAAUCCAGUUAAGUUUAAUUUAGAAUCAAAAUAUGUCCAAAACAUUAUAAAGCGCCUUCCCAAGGCGCUGAACACGGUACAUGAGAAAUGUGAAACACGAUGAAUAAAUCGAUAAUAAAUGCAAUUCAAAUAGUGCAAAAAAGGUAAAACAUUAAAGUAGAAGACAAAUGGGUAAAACAAGGGACCAAUGAAAGCAGGGAAAUAAAAUCAACAUAAAAGUGGGCUGAACUCAAACACGUUCAGGGAAUGCCAAGCGGAGGAGGUGGGUUUUUAGGUGACUCUUAAAGGCUGGCAGAGAUGGGGACAGCCUGACUGAGGGUGGCAACUGGUUCCAGAGUGACGGAUGUCAUACGGGCAAAGUCUGUUUUAUUGUGGUUUUCCUUCUAGUGUGGUGUGUUUUUAGUGUGUAUUCUUUUUUACUUAGUUUAGUGCAUGGAAUGCUUUUAUUUUGGUGAACCCAGGAAACUGGGAGGGUGUGUGAUUUUAUUUUGAUGAGCUUGGACAGAUGACAUCCGGACCGGAGCAAUUAUCUACACUGGUGGCAGAUUAGGAGCGUCUGUUUUUUGGUGGAGACGGCGGCAGCAAGCAGAGGAUCGCUGGGUGAAAAGACACCGAUCGUCUGUGACGAGGCUUCAUGGAGAUGUGGGCAGGGUAUUCCUCUGCCCUGGCGUGUGGACCCGCGACAGAGGAGGACGACAGCGUGGCGCGGUGACGCGGCCGAGCCAGUGACCGAUCUGCAGGAGGAAGCGGCCGAUCGAGGGAAACGGCGGUGCGGCAGACACGCGUCUUGAAGGAGGAGGCGAGCUAUCGAGGGAAGAGGAAACCGGCAGCGUGGCAGACAAGCGUCCCCAAGGAGGAGGAAUCUGCCCCGCAGCGUCCAGAUAAGGCUGCAGACUCUCCGGCCCAGUUCUGACAAGUGACUGUCCUAACCUGGUUUUUUAAAUGAUGUUUUAAUUAGAAUUUUCAAUAAACCCCAGUGCGGU